rnacentral:rRNA from 1 species
UACGUAGGGACCAAGCGUUGUUCGGAUUUACUGGGCGUAAAGAGCGUGUAGGCGGCCAUGCAGGUCCGUUGUGAAAACUCGAGCUCAACCUCGAGACGCCGAUGGAAACCGCAUGGCUAGAGUCCGGAAGAGGAGAGUGGAAUUCCUGGUGUAGCGGUGAAAUGCGCAGAUAUCAGGAAGAACACCCGUGGCUAAGGCGGCUCUCUAGUACGGUACUGACGCUGAGACGCGAAAGCGUGGGGAGCGAACAGG